rnacentral:rRNA from 1 species
AUGAAUUAUGAGUUUAAUAGAUCCUCUUUAGCAGAAAGACGUAUAUUCCUUGCUCAUUAUCAGACAAUCACUUAUUCCCAAACCUCGUGUGGGACUAAUCGUUUUCAUUUACCAUCUCAUGGAAAACCCUUUUCGUUCCGC